rnacentral:rRNA from 1 species
ACUUGCGGCCAUACCACCCUGUCUGUGCCCGAUCUCGUCUGAUCUCGGAAGCUAAGCAGCGUCGGGCCUGGUUAGUACUUGAAUGGGAGAAUGCCCAGGAGUACCAGGUGCUGUAAGCU